rnacentral:rRNA from 1 species
AACGAACGCUGGCGGCAUGCCUAACACAUGCAAGUCGAACGAUUGCCUUCAGGUGAUAGUGGCGCACGGGUGCGUAACGCGUGGGAAUCUGCCCUUAGGUUCGGAAUAACAGCUGGAAACGGCUGCUAAUACCGGAUGAUAUCGCGAGAUCAAAGAUUUAUCGCCUGAGGAUGAGCCCGCGUUGGAUUAGGUAGUUGGUGGGGUAAAGGCCUACCAAGCCGACGAUCCAUAGCUGGUCUGAGAGGAUGAUCAGCCACACUGGGACUGAGACACGGCCCAGACUCCUACGGGAAGCAGCAGUGGGGAAUAUUGGACAAUGGGCGCAAGCCUGAUCCAGCAAUGCCGCGUGAGUGAUGAAGGCCCUAGGGUUGUAAAGCUCUUUUACCCGGGAAGAUAAUGACUGUACCGGGAGAAUAAGCCCCGGCUAACUCCGUG